rnacentral:rRNA from 1 species
CCUGGUGAACAUAGCGGGCGGGAACCACCCGAUCCCAUUCCGAACUCGGAAGUGAAAACGUUCUGCGCUGAUGGUAGUGUGGCCGCAAGCCAUGCGAGAGUAGGUCAUUGCCAGGC